rnacentral:misc_RNA from 1 species
GAUGAAGAACGUAGCAAAAUGCGAUAAGUAAUGUGAAUUGCAGAAUUCAGUGAAUCAUCGAAUCUUUGAACGCACAUUGCGCCCGCCAGUAUUCUGGCGGGCAUGCCUGUUCGAGCGUCAUUUCAACCCUCAAGCACAGCUUGGUGUUGGGACUCGCGUUAAUUCGCGUUCCCCAAAUUGAUUGGCGGUCACGUCGAGCUUCCAUAGCGUAGUAGUAAAACCCUCGUUACUGGUAAUCGUCGCGGCCACGCCGUUAAACCCCAACCUCUGAAUGUUGACCUCGGAUCAGGUAGGAAUACCCGCUGAACUUAAGCAUAUCAAUAAGCGGAGGA